ensembl:rRNA 5S_rRNA 5S ribosomal RNA
ACAGCCAGCCAUGCCACCCUGAACACGCCUGAUCUCAUCUGAUCUCGGAAGCUAAGCAGGGUCGGGCCUGGUUAGUACUUGGAUGGGAGACCACCUAGGAGUAGAAAAAGAAUGAAGGUCUUC